GUGGUGAAAUGAGGCCAGUCAGGUUUCCUCAACUACCAACGUCUCCAACAAUCACCCAACACAACAGAGAUACAGAAGAAGGGCUGUUGGGGAUCUCUGACCAGAGGCCAAAGAAAAGGGACACACAAGGGGCUUGGUUCUUACCCAGCCGCCGUUCUCCUGGAUCCAAGGCUCUAGGUGGUCAUUCAGGUAAGUGGCCAUCCAAGCUGCAAUCCGACUCACCAAUACCUGCAUCUCCUUGUCUACGCUUUCCACGCACAGUGCCCCGCCGAAGGAGAAAAAGGCCACAAUGCGACCCCAGUUUACCCCAUCCCGGAAGAGUUCAUUCACUACCUGUUCAAAGCUCUGAUAUGCUGUCCCUGGGGUGAUGUGGAGCUGGGAUGUCAGGUCACUGAAUGCCCGCCGGUACCGCAGUUCAAACUCGUCGCCUGCCUCCCUCAGCGCUUGCUUUACUGCUGCCAUGGGGAUCACCUCCCGGGCAUCCAAACUGCUGCUGUGGCCAGUGGCUCCAUUCACCGCGGGGCUGUCCGCCAGGUGCCAGGAUGGGUUGCCAUUGAUGGCACUGGGGGUCUCCAUCUCCGAUUCAGUCCCUUCUGGGGCCUCAGUCCUGUUCUCUUCCACAUCACUAAACUGACUCCAGCUGUAUCCUUUCUGGGAAAGCUUGUAGGAGAGAAAGUCAACCACCAGCUCCCGGUUGCUCUGAGACAUUUUUAUAAUAGGGAUGGGCUCAACCAGUCCAUUGUCCAAAACACCUGCUCACUCACUGAGUCUCGUCUCUGGUUAGUGAUUCUCUUCUAAGAUCCAAAGCCAAGAUAAGAUUCUGAAGGGAGAGAAAGAGCUUCAGGAAAAAAAAAUAAUUAAUAUGCAUGCCAUUUACCCUAAACAUCCCAUUCCCCCUCCAGGUACCAGAACUGGUUUCUUUGUGGGUCUUACGAAGGUCUGGGUUUAGGUUCCAAGAUACUUCAAUUAAGUCAAAUCGAAAGCAUCAGUGGACUCUGAAUCGCCCACCAGCCUUUUCUACCCGCGUCUUCUCCGAAAUGCCUUCCUCGGAAAGUCACCCCCUGGGCAGUCCCCCCCGCCCCACUCCCGCUCCCCCGCACCACCUACAUUCAAAUCCGCCUUAGGCAAAGGCAGGCAGGUGCAGCCCCCGGAAGAUCUUUUGUAUCACAGGUCUGGAGAAGAGGUGGCUGCGGGGAUGCCGGUAACUCAGCCGGCCUCGCGGCGGCUGGCAAAAAAACCAGCUCUGGCCGGAGGGAUCAUGCGACCCGGGAGGCUGGGAGCCCAGAAGGCGACACAGGAAUUGCGAAGCUCAGGAACCAGCCCCCUCGCUUGCUUCCUCCUCCAUCGCCCGGAUCGAGGGCGGCCGCUCCGCAGCCGCGGCCUCCUGCCACCCGGGAGCCCAGCCCCCUCGCUCUUGCACGCCCCUUGGCUCUCCGCCUCCUACUGGGAGCCAGGAGUACUCUCUUGGAGGUGGCUGGUAUGGAUUUAGUUGGUUUUCUAUUUUUCUUUUUUCUAUUUAAGCACCAGCCCAGGGUGAGAUGGAGGCUUCCGAAACCCCGAAGGGACUUCUCAAUGGGGUUCAGGGUUUCGGUGAGGGACGCAGGGAGGGGGAAACUGCCUCGGAUCUGCAAUCUGACUUUGGGAAGGCCACCCCCAGGCCUGUCUGGGAGGUUGAAGGCCGGAGACCCCCCACAAAUGCCGCUGGUUUGCUCUGAAUUCCCCAAAGGCCCAGAACGUGGCGGUGGGGGAUUGCCGGGUCCUCCAUUCCCCGCCCGGACACAAUGGCCGCCGGCGCCCUGCACAAAGACUGGGUGAGGGUGAGGCGCGGGGCCUCUCCUCAGGUCAGGAAGAGGGGUCGAGGCCUGCUCGACGGCCCCACAGCUGAGACCACGUUUUCCUG
rnacentral:antisense_RNA from 1 species